rnacentral:rRNA from 1 species
AGGAAUUUUUUUUAUAUUAUUAGGUAGAAUUUUUAAUAUUUAGAAAAAACAUAAAAUUUUAAAUCAUGAAAAUUAUAUUAUGGACCAGGAUUAGAUACCCUGUUACUUAUAAUAAAUAAAUUUUGGAAUAGUAAUAAUAAUGAAAUUUAACGGAUUUGGCGGCAAGAUAGCCAUUUAAAGGAACCUGCCCUAUAAACGAUGAACCACGAAAAACUUUACUUUUAUUUGUAAUCAGUUUGUAUACCGCUGUUGUCAGUCAGUUUCUUUAGAAAACUUUCUAUCAUGAAAAAAUCAUAGACUUCAAGUAAAGGUGCAGCUUAUGUAAAAGAUAGAGGUGGGUUACAUUUAUAAGAUUUUAACGGAUAAAGUUUAUGAAAUAACUUUUUAAGUUGGAUUUAAUUGUAAAGUUUAAAAAAACUUGAUGAGAGCUCUAUCUUGUGUACACACCGCCCGUCGCUCUCUUUUUUAAAC